rnacentral:rRNA from 1 species
UACAGAGGGGGCAAGCGUUGUUCGGAAUUACUGGGCGUAAAGGGCGCGUAGGCGGCCACCUAAGUCAGACGUGAAAUCCCUCGGCUCAACCGGGGAACUGCGUCUGAGACUGGGUGGCUUGAAUCCGGGAGAGGGAUGCGGAAUUCCAGGUGUAGCGGUGAAAUGCGUAGAUAUCUGGAGGAACACCGGUGGCGAAGGCGGCAUCCUGGACCGGUAUUGACGCUGAGGCGCGAAAGCCAGGGGAGCAAACGGG